rnacentral:rRNA from 1 species
UACGUAGGGGGCAAGCGUUGUCCGGAUUCAUUGGGCGUAAAGAGCGUGUAGGCGGCCAGGUAGGUCCGUUGUGAAAACUCGAGGCUCAACCUCGAGACGUCGAUGGAAACCAUCUGGCUAGAGUCCGGAAGAGGAGAGUGGAAUUCCUGGUGUAGCGGUGAAAUGCGCAGAUAUCAGGAGGAACACCAAUUGCGAAGGCAGCGCGCUGGGACGUUACUGACGCUGAGACGCGAAAGCGGGGGGAGCAAACAGG